rnacentral:lncRNA from 1 species
UAGGAUUUGGAUUAGGAUUUGGUUUAGGAUUUGGAAUUUAGGAUUUAUUUAGGAUUUAGGAUUUGGUUAGGAUUUAGUUAGGAUAUUAUUUAAGAUUUAGGAUUUGGAUUAGGAUUUGGUUAGGAUUUGAUUUAGGGUUUAUGGUUUGGUUCAGGGUUUGGUUAGGAUUUGGUUUAGGAUUUGGUUGGAGUUUGGUUUAAGGUUUGUUUCAGGUUUGAUUUAGAGUUUAGUAUUUUAUUAGGAUUUAAGAUUGAAUUAGUUUUGGCCUAAAGUUUAAAUAAAGUUCAAUAGAAUUUUAACUAGAAUUAAAUUAAGAUUGAAUUGAGAUGUAUUUGAGUGAUAUUUGUGAUCCUUCUAAUAUUUCUUUAAGAAUUUUUAUUGUUUGUUUGAAAUUUCUUUGAGAUUUUUUUGAAUUUGAUUAAGCUUGUUUAGCAUUAUUAUGGUCUAAUU